GACAGGGUGGCAACCCAGCGAAGCAACAACCGAAAACGUUGGACGUGGGUCCUAAAAACAUUGGAUUAGCCGCUUUUAAAUAUAUGGAACAUAAAAGAUGUUUGAUAGUGCGAAAUAACUGGCAACAAUCAUUUUUGCACGGCAUUGCGCGCCGCAUGAAAAUCGCGGCAAAUGCCGCUUAGAAUUUCGAUAAGAAGCGGACAACGGGAUGCUUACUUCUAUCAAUGUAAAUGGCUAAUGUGGCACCACUGGUCGCGAGAGCAACGUUCCCAUACAGUCACCAAAGGUAUACAGCGGAAAGCGACGUCGGCAGAGCGCUUAGCCGACUAUUGCAGUACAUAACGAAAUCGAGGAAACCGAAAAUCAGAAACCAAACGGACCACUAGCGAGCUACAACUCUGCCACGGCUACACUUUACACACUCUCAUUUACUCCUCCACCGCGCACAGCAACCCACACUCUCGCACAGCCGCGUGCGUGCGGUAGAGAGAGGCUACGACAGGAAAAAGCAAUAAAAAUGAAGGAGAAAAAAGGCAAAGUGCAUCUCACCAUGACAAUGGCGGAACCAUAAAAACACAUGUUCCCAUCUUGAAUCGAAGCAAAUUCGGCGGACUACCUCCCCUAAAAAAAAAAAAAGAAAAGAAAAAACUGGCGAAAUAAAAUCUGUACACGCGAAAAAGUAGAGCUGCUAGAAAUACGAGUGGCAUGGAAACCUUGCAGUUAUCGAUUCGCCUCGCUCAUUGCGCAAUGUAAAAUGCAGCGGGGGCGGUGAGAGAGUAAAUAGAAAGAGAUUGAGUGUCUCUCUUUUUAAGGCACCUGCAGCGCUGAGAAAUGCAAAUCCGACUUCCACUUUCCAGCUCAAAAGUUCAAAGUUCAUAUGCAACUAACUAACAUUUGGGUGCAGCGCAUGUCCACCAUGCACAGAAAUUCCCGGACCAAAAAAUUCGAGAAUAGGGACAAACAGCACUCUCCGACUUCCAGGCGCCGCAGGAAGAUUGCUGAUUUGAAAUACUGCAAAAUGAAAUGAAUACUAUAUACAACGCUCAUUAAGUGAAAUGUGGAAUGGUAUUAAUCUUCCGUCAGACUGAUCCAACUUCUUACAUAUAAGGCAAAUUGGUUGAUUGGGAAAAAACGUGCUUAGCAAAAUUUCAGACAAUUAUUUCUCAGUUACCUAUGUAUGUACACAUAUGUGAUGGUUAUGUUCAACUAUUGACUUCAACUAAAUGACUAUUUCUCUUCUGGCUACUAACGUAAGAGAUGAAAGUGGAUUGUCUAAGUUUUAAAAUUUUGUUGUUUUCAAUGUUUUUGAUGAUUUCUACGUUACUUAAUACAACAACAAAUAACAUGAAUGUAAAAAACUAACAAUAAAUAGAAUGAAUUGUA